AUACGGAGGAUCCGAGCGUUAUCCGGAUUUAUUGGGUUUAAAGGGUGCGCAGGCGGGAGAUUCAGUCGGCGGUGAAAUUUUGCCGCUUCACUGUAAAAGGGCCCUUCAAAAUUGUUUCCCUGAGUGUAGAUGGAGGAGGGGGAAUUUGUGGGGUGGGGGUGAAAUGCAUAGAGAUCACGAGGAACUACGAUUGCGCAGGCAGCUUAAUAAACUGCUACUGACGCUCAGGCACGAAGGCGUGGGGAUCAAACAGGAUUAGAUACCCUGGUAGUCCACGCAGUAAACGAUGAUUACUAGCUGUUUGCGAUACAAUGUAAGCGGCUGAGCGAAAGCGUUAAGUGUCCCACCUGGGGAGUACGUUCGCAAGAAUGAAACUCAAAUGAAUGGGCGGGG
rnacentral:rRNA from 1 species